AUUGAACGCUGGCGGCAGGCCUAACACAUGCAAGUCGGGCGGAUGAAGGGAGCUUGCUCCUGGAUUCAGCGGCGGACGGGUGAGUAAUGCCUAGGAAUCUGCCUGGUAGUGGGGGAUAACGUCCGGAAACGGGCGCUAAUACCGCACACGUCCUGAGGGAGAAAGUGGGGGAUCUUCGGACCUCACGCUAUCAGAUGAGCCUAGGUCGGAUUAGCUAGUUGGUGGGGUAAAGGCCUACCAAGGCGACGAUCCGUAACUGGUCUGAGAGGAUGAUCAGUCACACUGGAACUGAGACACGGUCCAGACUCCUACGGGAGGCAGCAGUGGGGAAUAUUGGACAAUGGGCGAAAGCCUGAUCCAGCCAUGCCGCGUGUGUGAAGAAGGUCUUCGGAUUGUAAAGCACUUUAAGUUGGGAGGAAGGGCAGUAAGUUAUUACCUUGCUGUUUUGACGUUACCAACAGAAUAAGCACCGGCUAACUUCGUG
rnacentral:rRNA from 1 species